AUUGAACGCUGGCGGCAGGCCUAACACAUGCAAGUCGAGCGGAUGAAUGGAGCUUGCUCCUGGAUUCAGCGGCGGACGGGUGAGUAAUGCCUAGGAAUCUGCCUUGUCGUGGGGGAUAACGUCCUGAUACGGGCGCUAAUACCGCAUACGUCCUGUGGGCGAACGUGGGGGAUCUUCGGUCCUCACGCUUUCAGAUGAGCCUAGGUCGGAUUAGCUAGUUGGUGGGGUAAAGGCCUACCAAGGCGACGAUCCGUAACUGGUCUGAGAGGAUGAUCAGUCACACUGGAACUGAGACACGGUCCAGACUCCUACGGGAGGCAGCAGUGGGGAAUAUUGGACAAUGGGCGAAAGCCUGAUCCAGCCAUGCCGCGUGUGUGAAGAAGGUCUUCGGAUUGUAAAGCACUUUAAGUUGGGAGGAAGGGCAGUAAGUUAAUACCUUGCUGUUUUGACGUUACCAACAGAAUAAGCACCGGCUAACUUCGUG
rnacentral:rRNA from 1 species